rnacentral:rRNA from 1 species
GAUGAACGCUGGCUACAGGCUUAACACAUGCAAGUCGAGGGGAAACGACGGGGAAGCUUGCUUCCCCGGGCGUCGACCGGCGCACGGGUGAGUAACGCGUAUCCAACCUGCCUCUGACUGAGGGAUAACCCGUCGAAAGUCGGCCUAAUACCUCAUGGCAUCGUCUGCGGGCAUCCAACGACGAUUAAAGAUUUCAUCGGUCAGAGAUGGGGAUGCGUCUGAUUAGCUUGUUGGCUGGGUAACGGCCAACCAAGGCGACGAUCAGUAGGGGUUCUGAGAGGAAGGUCCCCCAGAUUGGAACUGAGACACGGUCCAAACUGCUACGGGAGGCAGCAGUGAGGAAUAUUGGUCAAUGGGCGAGAGCCUGAACCAGCCAAGUAGCGUGCAGGAUGACGGCGCUAUGGGUUGUAAACUGCUUUUAUGCGGGGAUAAAGUGAGGGACGUGUCCUUCAUUGCAGGUACCGCAUGAAUAAGGACCGGCUAAUUCCGUG